rnacentral:rRNA from 1 species
AACGAACGCUGGCGGCAUGCCUAACACAUGCAAGUCGAACGAGACCUUCGGGUCUAGUGGCGCACGGGUGCGUAACGCGUGGGAACCUGCCCUUAGGUUCGGAAUAACUCCCCGAAAGGGGUGCUAAUACCGGAUAAUGUCUUCGGACCAAAGAUUUAUCGCGUUUGGAUGGGCCCGCGUUGGAUUAGCGAGUUGGUAGGGUAAAAGCCUACCAAGGCGACGAUCCAUAGCUGGUCUGAGAGGAUGAUCAGACACACUGGGACUGAGACACGGCCCAGACUCCUACGGGAGGCAGCAGUGGGGAAUAGUGGACAAUGGGCGAAAGCCUGAUCCAUCAAUGCCGCGUGAGUGAUGAAGGCCUUAGGGUUGUAAAGCUCUUUUACCCGGGAUGAUAAUGACAGUACCGGGAGAAUAAGCUCCGGCUAACUCCGUG